rnacentral:lncRNA from 1 species
UUGGUAUAUUUUUACCACCAAAUCUGUCAUUUCUGUCAUCUCCCACCGUCAUCCCCAUCUCCCCAAAUUAUCUAUAUCUAUAUCUAUAUCUAUUUAUAUCUAUAUCUAUAUCUAUAUCUAUACUAUAUAUAAAAACGCAUAGGAAUUCCGACAAUGACAGACAAAAUCCAAAAAAGAAUAAAAAAAUAUUCCCUAUAUUUUUUAGGAACGGAGACAAACGGGUAUGAUCACUUAAUUAAAAAAAUUUCAAAUAAGAACGAAUGAUUAUAAUUAAUCUGUUAAAAAGUAGCAUUAUUAUCCAUCUAUAAAAUAAUCCAAAAAGAAAUAAAAGAAUAUUCCCUAUAUUUUUUAUGACCAUGUAUGAUCACUUAAUUAAAAAAAUCUCAAAUAAGAAUUAACGGUUAUGAUUAAUCUGUUAGAAAAAGCAUUCUUAUCCAUCUAUAAAUCCAAUCUUACGAACGGCUGUGUCAAUUAAAAAUGAACGGUUCACUUAAUUAAAAUAAUUUCAAAUAAGAACGAACGGUUAUGAUUAAUCUGUUAAAAAAUAGCAUUCUUAUCCAAAAAUUUUAAUUAUAGUAGAUAAAAAUUAAAUUUUAAAUUUUCAAAUAAAUAU